AGUUAAUAAUUCAAGAUAAGAUAAUAUGUUUUGAAAACAUAAUUUUAAAGGUUUAAAUCCUUUAUUAACUU
rnacentral:tRNA from 1 species